CGUUCCUGCCCACGAGAGGGAGGCAGAGGGGGCAUUAGGCCCGCCAGGUGACGAAGCUGAUGGGAGGGCGCCGAGGUGCUGUGGCCAGAGCCUGGACCCCGCUCUCAAGAGGGCUGAGCCCACCGUGACCCCCCCCGGAGCCUGGACCCCGCUCACACAGAGGGCUCCAGUCCCAGCCUCCGCCUGACGCACACUCACAACCUGGCCGCCCUUGCUCGGACCGCACCCUGGGCCCCUCUCCCCGAGCUCUGAGCCCCCCGGGGCAUGAGCCCCCGGCCCCGACCACACAUCUGCCUGCACCUGCGGAGCCAGGAGAGCUGGCCAAGAAAGCAGCCCCCUUGCCCACAGGCCGGGCAAAGCCUGGGCACAGGUCAGGCGAGUGGCAGACAUGGCCAGCGGGAACGAGGAAGCGGUCCCUCUGCCAAUGCCUGUGUCCCUGCCACCAGCCCCGCCGGCAGGGAGCCUGUCCCCUCCUGUUUCCACUCCGGCCCAACUGUCUAAUGCCUCCGACUGGAUGGCAAGCUUUAACAAAGGACAUACCUGCCGAACCUGAGUCCAGGGUAGAAAAGUAUAUGGUUACUGUUCCGAGGACAGAUCCCUCCUCUGGGUUACCAAGUCCAGCGCUCCCUCCCCGGCCGCCGUGUGCACAGCCUCCCAGCGGAGCAUGUCUGCGUUCAGCUGCCGGCCACCACUCAGGUCCCCCCCCGACCACCACCACAACCCUGGCCGGACCUGCUCGGCCUCCUGUGCCGCCGCCUCCAGCUUGCAAAUCCCGCCUGCGCACUGCACCAAACGUCAGCGAACGUUAAAUUACUUAUGUUGACGAGUAACAACUACAGAGAAGAGAAGGAACCAGGAAGAAGUCCCCAAGCAGCAGCCGUGUGUUUCGCUCCCCGCCGGGCCCCAGCAUGCCACCCAGGGUCGGCCUCCAGCAGGUGCUCCGUGUGCUGAGUAGCAUAAGGCCUGAGCCUCAGGACGGGGGCCGGGCUGGGUGUGAGCUGGGGCACAAAUCGGCACGAACACGAUGCCAACGGAGUGGAUGCACAGGGGGACCCAGAACAGUGAAGGGACCAAGGGCUCUGGAACAAACCAGCCCACAACACGCUCCAGGAAGGAAGUGGCCACCAGAGCCUCCAGGAGCACUGCUGACUUUUGUGACACUGACCUUCACCAGGAGGAGGGGCCACAGAGGACCAGACCUGUGAGGGCUCACC